AAUUCCUUAGAGGUCUGAGCCAUGAGUUUUCUCCUCCUCCUCCAGCCAGUAUCACAGAACUGUUGCAUUGCCAAGAAGAGGAAAAAGAAAGCUGCAAUAUGAACACGGCUUGGUGGGACAGAUGUCUCUUUCCACAUUUGACCACUUGUACAACUGGUACCCUUGCACACAUCCUGCCCACCUCUGUGUCCAUCUUCUAGAUUAUCACACCAUUUCCCACAGUGGUAGCAGCAGCUGCCACAAUACCCUCCCCCUUGGCAUGAUUCUGCAGGCACAAGGUGGGUUUAUAGAUGAAGAGACAGGAGGCCAUGGCCUGGGAGAGCUCGGCACCGGGAGCCUUACGCAGAAGAACCUGAACUGCAGCAGAAGGAGGUCUUUGUCCUCUACCCCCAUACCAGUGACCAUGACAAAGAUCCCAGGAGCAUGGAAUAUUGGAGUCAGACAGGGCCUGCAAAAUUGCACAUUGGUCCAACGCUCUCACCUUUAGAAGAGGAAACUAUUGGCCAUGGAACAAGUCCAAGCUCACCCAGGAAUUUACGGAAAACUCUGAACUCGAAGUUUAGGUGCCAAAGGUUUCCAAUCCAGGGAAGAUCUGAGCAGUCAAGGAAAAACUGGAAUGUACAAUUCUUCCUUGUGGAAACAUCCGCCAUGUGGGACACCUCUGUGUAUCACAGUCAUUCACAGAAAUGCUGCCCCCGCCCGCCUGAAUCUGCCUAAAUUGCUGCUCUGAGUCCUCUGGCUGUCGUUUGUGGAACACUCACAAGCACUAAGCAAACAUUGUGAUUCUUCUACCCUCCUUUUAGCUCACUGUUUCCAAAACUUGCAUCCAAACCCGUGAAUCAAAUCAACUCAAAUAAAUAGGGAUUUAUUGAGUUCCUUUUGGAAAGAUAAGGUACUAGGUACUGAUCUCUGAAAUGACAAACCUGC
rnacentral:lncRNA from 1 species